AAGUAGGGCGGGACACGUGAAAUCCUGUCUGAAGAUCGGAGGACCACCUUCGAAGGCUAAGUACUCCUUGCUGACCGAUAGCGAACCAGUACCGUGAGGGAAAGGUGAAAAGCACCCCGACGAGGGGAGUGAAACAGUACCUGAAACCGAACGCCUACAAUCAGUCGGAGCUCCUUACGGAGUGACGGCGUACCUUUUGUAUAA
rnacentral:rRNA from 1 species